rnacentral:rRNA from 1 species
UACGAAGGGGGCUAGCGUUGCUCGGAAUCACUGGGCGUAAAGCGCACGUAGGCGGCUUUUUAAGUCAGAGGUGAAAUCCUGGAGCUCAACUCCAGAACUGCCUUUGAUACUGGAGAGCUUGAGUCCGGGAGAGGUGAGUGGAACUGCGAGUGUAGAGGUGAAAUUCGUAGAUAUUCGCAAGAACACCAGUGGCGAAGGCGGCUCACUGGCCCGGUACUGACGCUGAGGUGCGAAAGCGUGGGGAGCAAACCGG